UACAGAGGGGGCAAGCGUUAUUCGGAAUUAUUGGGCGUAAAGGGCUCGUAGGCGGUCUGUCACGUCGGGAGUGAAAACUCAGGGCUUAACCCUGAGCCUGCUUCCGAUACGGGCAGACUAGAGGUAGGUAGGGGAGAUCGGAAUUCCUGGUGUAGCGGUGAAAUGCGCAGAUAUCAGGAGGAACACCGGUGGCGAAGGCGGCAUCCUGGACCGGUAUUGACGCUGAGGCGCGAAAGCUAGGGUAGCAAACGGG
rnacentral:rRNA from 1 species